UCGGGAAUUUUGGGCAAUGGGCGAAAGCCUGACCCAGCAACGCCGCGUGAAGGAUGAAAUCCCUCGGGAUGUAAACUUCGCAAGAACAGGAAGAAUAAGUAGGGGACAAUACCCCCUAUGAUGACGGUACUGUUUGUAAGCUCCGGCUAACUCCGUGCCAGCAGCCGCGGUAAUACGGGGGGAGCAAGCGUUGUUCGGAUUUACUGGGCGUAAAGGGCGCGUAGGCGGCCACCGCAAGUCGGUUGUGAAAUCUCCGGGCUUAACCCGGAAAGGUCAACCGAUACUGCGGGGCUAGAGUGCAGAAGGGGCAACUGGAAUUCUCGGUGUAGCGGUGAAAUGCGUAGAUAUCGAGAGGAACACCUGCGGCGAAGGCGGGUUGCUGGGCUGACACUGACGCUGAAGCGCGAAAGCUAGGGGAGCGAA
rnacentral:rRNA from 1 species